rnacentral:lncRNA from 1 species
GCUACUUUAAAAAAAAAAAAAGAAAUUUUCGGCUGAGUACAAAAAGAGAACUGCAGACAUCCCAUUAUAGGUGAAUUAAUAUAUGCGAUGUCUGAACGAGUAUGGCACACAAUCGCGCUAAAGUUUAAUCAAGACGCCGCGUCUAAGGGCCUUGUCAGUUUCCGCUUCCGGCGCGCGAGACCCGUUUAAAGCGACCACACGCGCAUACUUCCACCCUCAUUUCGCUCCGGUAUCUGCUUUGGUAAGUUCGAAGGAAGUGGUUUGCGCUUGUUUUAUUUAAUUUAAUUUAAAAAAGGGCACUUAAGAAAUAAUCUGCUUACAUUUUAAAAUCUAAAUUAGUUUAGAUGCGUUUUUAUCUUUAUUUAAAUUAUUUAUGAAUCCAACGCCCAAGUAACUAGUUUAGUAGUCAUUUAUUUGGUUGGGUUAGUUCACGGUUACAAUCCGUUGACAUCUUUACUCCUCUUAGAAGUAGGUCUUCUUUAUGCCUUCUUUUAAAGAAUGUCGAUGGCACUAUGUAUUUGCUUGGACACUUUUUUUUGAUGUGACGUAAGAAAGAUGUCUCAUUAGUGAGUCGAUCUCAUGGCUGUUGUAAGCGGUUUGAUUGUUGACGUGUGGUCUAGAACUUAGAAGUUUCUCAGUGAUGAAAACUCUCACAGACCUGUCCUGAGACAAAGUGAUUGCACUCUUGUUCUGACGGGGAAACUUCUGGGUCAUUCUGGCCAUUCUUUCACAUGGUUGUGCCACGUGGUUAUAACUCUCUGCCCCCCUCCAGGCAGCCUCGACUGCGAUGGAUGCGACUGCAGACCAAGGCUGCCCAGUGAUGCUCUUGUUGGUCCUAAUAAAUUCUGAUAUUUCAUGA